rnacentral:lncRNA from 1 species
UGAAUUUGCUCCUGUGAUUAUAAUCACUUUUCCACUCAAGUCACGACCCUGAAGUAUUUCCAUCGCAGUACUGUUUCCAUCAUAUUUUUGUCUAGUAGGUGGCUUUGCUGGAUUAUCUUCAACUGUAAAGGCCAAUCUUGGAUCCAGAUAGGUAGUUCUUUUGUUUAUGUGGUCUACAAAAUAGACCUGUCCAUUUUCAUCAGUCUCCUGCUCCCAUCCAUAUGGCAGACCUCCUGCAACACGUUUCCUCUUCCCAGACUUUGGAUGUUCCCACUGUGUUUUUUCUUCCAAGUGAUUGGCGUAGUAAACCCAGCCGUCCUUGGUGGUGCGCUCCUCCCAGCCCGGCGGCAGCUCUUCCUCGCUGUCCGUGUCCUCCAACCCCGCGUACUUCAGUGCUGCCAUUGGGACGAGCGAUCCGCACAGCCCCACUCUACCCCGCAC